rnacentral:pre_miRNA from 1 species
AAUGGGAUAGCUGGGUCAAAUAGUCAAGUUUUCCAAGGAAUCUCCAUACUGCUUUCCAUAGUGGUUGCACCAAUUUGCAUUCCCACCAGCAAU